UAAUACAGAGGUGCCAAGCGUUAGGCGGAAUCACUGGGCUUAAAGCGCGUGUAGGUGGGUCGUUAAGUGUCCGCGUGAAAUCCCACGGCUCAACCGUGGAACUGCCGGGCAUACUGGCGAUCUUGAGGCAUUCAGGGGCGAGCGGAACAAGUGGUGGAGCGGUGAAAUGCGUAGAUAUCACUUGGAACGCCAAUGGUGAAAACAGCUCGCUGGGAAUGAUCUGACACUGAGACGCGAAAGCCAGGGGAGCGAACGGGAUUAGAUACCCCGGUAGUCCUGGCCCUAAACGAUGUCCACUAGAUCGUGGCACCUCUGACGGUGUCAUGGUCGGAGCAAAAGUGUUAAGUGGACCGCCUGGGAAGUACGGUCGCAAGGCUA
rnacentral:rRNA from 1 species